rnacentral:rRNA from 1 species
GGUUAAGCGACUAAGCGUACACGGUGGAUGCCCUGGCAGUCAGAGGCGAUGAAGGGCGUGCUAAUCUGCGAUAAGCGCCGGUAAGGUGAUAUGAACCGUUAUAACCGGCGAUACCCGAAUGGGGAAACCCAGUGUGACUCGUCACACUAUCAUUAACUGAAUCCAUAGGUUUAAUGAGGCGAACCGGGGGAACUGAAACAUCUAAGUACCCCGAGGAAAAGAAAUCAACCGAGAUUCCCCCAGUAGCGGCGAGCGAACGGGGAGGAGCCCAGAGCCUGAAUCAGCAUGUGUGUUAGUGGAAGCGUCUGGAAAGGCGCGCGAUACAGGGUGACAGCCCCGUACACAAAAGCGCAUGUGCUGUGAGCUCGAUGAGUAGGGCGGGACACGUGGUAUCCUGUCUGAAUAUGGGGGGACCAUCCUCCAAGGCUAAAUACUCCUGACUGACCGAUAGUGAACCAGUACCGUGAGGGAAAGGCGAAAAGAACCCCGGCGAGGGGAGUGAAAAAGAACCUGAAACCGUGUACGUACAAGCAGUGGGAGCCCCACCACUAAGCCAGUGGUGAACUCCACAUACGCAUCCUUUGCUGAGGAUACGGUUAACGGAGCGAAAGCGACGUUCAACCGCAAAAGAAGCAGAGGGGGCUUAGUGGUGGGGUGACUGCGUACCUUUUGUAUAAUGGGUCAGCGACUUAUAUUCUGUAGCAAGGUUAACCGAAUAGGGGAGCCGGAGGGAAACCGAGUCUUAAUUGGGCGUUAAGUUGCAGGGUAUAGACCCGAAACCCGGUGAUCUAGCCAUGGGCAGGUUGAAGGUUGGGUAACACUAACUGGAGGACCGAACCGACUAAUGUUGAAAAAUUAGCGGAUGACCUGUGGCUGGGGGUGAAAGGCCAAUCAAACCGGGAGAUAGCUGGUUCUCCCCGAAAGCUAUUUAGGUAGCGCUUCGUGAAUUCAUCUCCGGGGGUAGAGCACUGUUUCGGCUAGGGGGCCAUCCCGGCUUACCAACCCGAUGCAAACUGCGAAUACCGGAGAAUGUUAUCACGGGAGACACACGGCGGGUGCUAACGUCCGUCGUGAAGAGGGAAACAACCCAGACCGCCAGCUAAGGUCCCAAAGUCAUGGUUAAGUGGGAAACGAUGUGGGAAGGCCCAGACAGCCAGGAUGUUGGCUUAGAAGCAGCCAUCAUUUAAAGAAAGCGUAAUAGCUCACUGGUCGAGUCGGCCUGCGCGGAAGAUGUAACGGGCUAAACCGAUGCACCGAAGCUGCGGCAGCGACACUGUGUGUUGUU